UAAGUUUUAUUUUUGGUUAUUAUUAAUUUUAUUUAUAUUAAAAAAUUUUGUUGGGGUGACAGUGAAAUUUUAAUAACUUUCAUAUAAUUAUCAUCAUUGAUUUAUGUAUUUUUGAUCCUUUAUUAUGGAUUAUUAGAUUAAAUUACCUUAGGGAUAACAGCGUAAUUCUUUUGGAGAGUUCUUAUCGAUAAAGGAGUUUGCGACCUCGAUGUUGGAUUAAAAUUAAAUUUGGGUGCAGGAGCUCAAUUUUUAAGUCUGUUC
rnacentral:rRNA from 1 species